AGUGUUAGUGACGGAUUAAACAACCAAUAGCUGACACAGUCUGAUUUCACAUCAGCCAACAAGAUUGAUUGUCCCGCCCAUUUCAACUGCUGUGCUGAGAUUUUGCUCAGACACGAUUGAAAGCUAACAGCUGACGGUUGCUUCCGUGAAGAGCUUGUCGAAAUUUGAUGAAUCUGGAAAUCGGUCAGGUUUUUAUUUUUUUCAUGUUAUGGUGCAAUUUUUGGCCUGUGGUGCUCAGAGACCCGAUGAUCAUCCUCAUCUGAACUUGGAUGGCGAGCCCCAGCCCAGAGAAUCAAGAGAACCAGUAGACAGUGACAAUUGUUGUUAUAUUAAAUUAUAUUCUUUCUUAUAAA